UCGAACGGAAAGGCCCCUUCGGGGGUCUCGAGUGGCGAACGGGUGAGUAACGCGUGGGCAAUCUGCCCUGCACUUCGGGAUAAGCCUGGGAAACUGGAUCUAAUACCGGAUAGGACCUUUAGGCGCAUGUCUUUAGGUGGAAAGCUUUUGCGGUGUGGGAUGGGCCCGCGGCCUAUCAGCUUGUUGGUGGGGUGAUGGCCUACCAAGGCGACGACGGGUAGCCGGCCUGAGAGGGUGUCCGGCCACACUGGGACUGAGAUACGGCCCAGACUCCUACGGGAGGCAGCAGUGGGGAAUAUUGCACAAUGGGCGCAAGCCUGAUGCAGCGACGCCGCGUGGGGGACGACGGCCUUCGGGUUGUAAACCUCUUUCACCAUCGACGAAGGUCCGGGUUUUCUCGGAUUGACGGUAGGUGGAGAAGAAGCACCGGCCAACUACGUGCCAGCAGCCGCGGUAAUACGUAGGGUGCGAGCGUUGUCCGGAAUUACUGGGCGUAAAGAGCUCGUAGGUGGUUUGUCGCGUUGUUCGUGAAAUCUCACGGCUUAACUGUGAGCGUGCGGGCGAUACGGGCAGACUAGAGUACUGCAGGGGAGACUGGAAUUCCUGGUGUAGCGGUGGAAUGCGCAGAUAUCAGGAGGAACACCGGUGGCGAAGGCGGGUCUCUCGGCAGUAACUGACGCUGAGGAGCGAAAGCGUGGGGAGCGAACAGGAUUAGAUACCCUGGUAGUCCACGCCGUAAACGGUGGGUACUAGGUGUGGGUUUCCUUCCCUUGGGAUCCGUGCC
rnacentral:rRNA from 1 species